ACAUUUCAAAUAUUAUUUUUUCAACGAAAUAGUUUAAAUCGCGAAAUCGCAUACAACCGUGGCUAAUUUUUUCGGUAUCGUUCAAAAUUGUGUAAUAUAUUUUAUUAUCAGUCCCGCCCGUGUCCAGUGUCAUAUUAUUAUUAAUAUUAUCAUUAUCAGUGCGCCCGAAAUUCCUACCACGUAUAAUAGGUAUAGGUAGAUAGGUCGAAGGUAUUAGUUGUAGGUUAUACAUUAUGUUUAUUAAUUAUUGCUCUCUACGUCGUACCUAGUGCGUGACCACAGUUAUUUUCUGUCUAAAAAUUCGCAUAUUUUCAUAAGAAAAAAAACAGGCCACGGAGGAAUCUGACUCCCCGCUCAUCACCACUCGUAUAUGCCCACUUGUAAUAAUAUUAUGUUUAGGUAAGUACUACUUGAGUCAUCGGGUGCCGUCUCCAGUAAAAUAUUAUAAUAUUGUCUCGUGGCUUGUAUCGAAUUACGAACGAGCGUCGAACACGAAAUAUAAAAAAUGGCCCUUCCGCAUACGUACGACGUAUUAUUAUUUUGAUGUCGACGAUGAUAAUAAUAAUAAUAAUAAUAAUAAUAAUAAUAAUAAUAAUAAUAAUAAUAACAAUAAUAAUACUAAUAAUAUGACGCGUAGUAUUAAUAUUGUCAAAAACAGCAGUGCCGGCGCAUAAACGACUCGCGUUAUAAUAAUAUUACACGUUAUUAUUAUUAUUAUUAUUACUUUACGACGUGUUUCGAUCGAGUAAAACGGUAAAAUACAAUAUUGUAUGUACAAUUAUAAUACACGUCCUACCGCGCACGUUCGACCAUAAUAGUAUUAUCGCCGAGCGCGAUAUUAUCAUUAUCGCUGUUGUCCGUCGUCUCCGUCUUUCAAUAUUACCGCCGCGGAACAGUGUCUCGCCGUCUGCCGUACAGCAAUAAUAAUAUUAUAAUUUAUAUCGCGCGUCCGUCGUCGCCCGCUACAGUACGAAAAUCGUCAUGCGGCCGUCCCGUUGGUUUUUCGCGCUCGUCGCACCGGCGAUGUUUGUAUUAUUCUCGCCGCCGACCGCCGCGGCCACGGGCAUCCGCCCCCCGGCGCUGGACCGGCCCGCCCAGAGGGACGUGAUGCGGCACCUGCGCGGCGGCGCGCCACCGGGCCCGGUCGUCAGGCUUGGCGAGAGGAACAACGCGGCCGUCAAGACGUACCUGACCAGAUUGCGGGACAGGUACUCGAGCGUCCUGGACAGGCCCUGGGACAGCAAGUACGCCAACCACAGGAACGUCAAACAGUGGUCGCGAUGAUAUGAUUCGAACGUCUACCUACCUACGAGAAUUUCGUGAUUUCGUCACAUCGACCAGCAGCAUCCGAAACGAGAAACCGACCAGGAAACUUAUCCACGAUAAAAACGAUAAUUAUUUUUAUGAUUAUGAUGACGUACCUAUAGUAAAUUAUAUGUAGUUUACAGGUAUUAGUUUUUGUUUUUUUUUUUUUUUGCGACUAAAACAAUAUUGUCGGCCGUUGAAAAAACAUGUCAAAUAAAAUAAUGUUUAGCAAAAAUUUAAUUUUUUUUCACUGUCGCUUUGUACAUAUGCGAUGAAAAGUUUUAGGAACCUCUUGUCUAUUAUUUGUAGGUAAACAAAACGUUAUGUAAUAUAAUUUGCGCCACUGCUUGCUAACUAAAACUUAUUAUUUUAACCAAAACAUACAUCAUAUUUAAUAUAUAUUGCUAUACAUAUUAUGGAUAAUGACAUGUAAAAUAAACGUUUCUUUGCUUAUUAUCUUAUGAAACCCUUACUUUCUUUUGGAGUAUUUUAACGUUCUGCAGCAUACUUGGCAGGGAACUACACAAAGAGAACCAACAGAGAGAACAAUAAUGUCGGCAAUGUCAUCUACAUAAUAUAGUAUUAUAAUAUAUACCAUUAUGUCGUACACACGUGCAUUGUUCGCGGUUUAUUAGAUUAUAGGUACAUAAUAAUUGUUACUGGUAGUUUGUUUUUCUAUAACGUACACCAUUCCCAUGCAUAUAUAUUGAUGUGUAAAAUAAACGCUCGGUUUGUUUAUGUUGUGACUUUUCACGAUUCAGUUGAAUAAGUAUAUAAUAAUGUUAUAUAAAUACAUAUUAUUAUAAUAUGCUAAUGUAAGCGUAUUAUGGGUCGUAUAGAUGUGUACAGUGGGCACAGCAUAUAUCAAUAUUUUUUUGUGUUUUAAAAAAUAUGUAAACAAAACGCUGCACAUUUAUAAAUAGCAAAUGUAUACGUUAAUAAUAAUAAUAAUAAUAAUAAAAAAAAAAAAGAACAAUGCAUUAUUCGGUAGUGUACUAUAGUGUGUCAUUUGAAUUCAUGGUUUGUCGUUCUAGUGAAAUUGGACACGAAAACAGUUUUCGAUUAAAAAAAAAAUUGUUAUAAUUGUCGGCAGCGAUGACAACACCGAAUCAAUUUGUUAUAUUUCUUGCGUACGGACAGUUUUUCAUAUCAUUAAUAUUUAAUUUAAUGAUGAUGGUUUGAAUCGACUGAUCUAUAAUUAUUACACAGGCUGUCUAAAAGUGUUGAUUUGAAUCCUUGAAGUUUCUUUCAAAAAUGUUUUUCUUCGUUGUACCUGUAUAUUUUUUAGCAGUGCACCUCACUUACCUAUAGGCCACUUUUGGUGAGAUUUUCAGAACCCCCAUGUUUAUUAGAUGAUUAAAAGUAAAUAGUAUUUAUUUUCUCGCAUCAGACUGGAGGAUGUAAGGUUUUUUCUUUCACGUGUGGAUUACGUUAUUAACAAUUAUUUAAUAAUACAUUAUUUUGAUUCGGCGUGAUUGAUACAUCAUAUAAACCGAUUCCAAUGAUUAAUAAAUCCUGGCGCUGUUACAUUUUAAACGUAUAUUUUUAGUUACGUUUUGAAAUUACAGAAUAAUGCAGUAGUUCAUGACAUAAAUUCUACUAAAUGUAAAAUGAUUAAUGUUUCGAAGAUGAAUUACAAUAGUCAUAAAAUAUUGUGAAAUAUGAUAGCCCGAACAUCCCAAAUAUAUGAUUUUAUUUUAAUAUUUAAUAAUAAUUCGUACAUUAUUCGGUGUUUUUUUUAUAUAACUGAGCAGAGUAGAAAACGUCAAUAUUUGAAAAGCAAUUUCUUUGAACAGUUUGUGCAAUUCAGUUAAACGAAUAGAAAAUUACAUUUUGUUUACUCACUAACAUUUUUAAAACAAUUUAACUUCAUUUUAAAUGUUUCUAUUUUAAAAACCUCUGUCAAUCGUUUGUUGCGUAAUAAAAACUUUUCUUUCAGACAACAUCAUAUUGUGUUUAUCUUUCCCACAUAUUAUAUUUUAUAUUUUUGCAAGAAAUAUAGGUACCAAACUGUACAUUUUUAUUUAUUUUUAUAAGUAUGCUUAACACAUCCGAUAUAGUGAAACCUAGUAUACAGCAGAGCGAGUUUUGUUUGUUGUACAAAAUAAAUAAGUAAUAACCAUCUAACAAUAUUUAUCGAUUUCGAAUUAAUUUACAUUAAACGAAAUCAACGGAUUACCCAUUUCAUAUUCUCCGAACGUCAAACGUCGUAAUAUGAACUGGAAAAUAAUAAAUUUCGAAAAAUACUAAAUAAUUUGUUGCGGUCGAUUGGUUAUUUGCAUAUUAAUAUUUUGUAUAGGUACAUAAUGGUCAUAGCCAUUUUAUUUAUAUCUUGCUAAAAUAUGAUUUGAUAUUAUUAAAAACUGAAGUAGACAGAUAGUUCGAUAGCCUAUAUAUUUGUCUUAGUAAAAAUCCAUACAAAUGUAUAAAACGUACUAAAUUGAUUAAAAUUUAACUUAAAUACUUCUAAAACGAACAAGCACGAGUUUUUUUUUAGUUAGAAUAUUUAUAAUAAUAAUUUAACUCCUAUUAUUUUUAAAUUGUAUGUGUUGUAAAAAAUAUUUCUAUGUGUAUCACAUUUCCAGUGCACUUUAUGCUCUUUUAUGACGUUGAUUUAUCAUGAAAAAAUUAAACCAAGGAGUUUUGAGAAUUAUUUAUUCAACAAAUACUAACCAAUAGUAUGUACUUGGAUAUUUUAUAGACUUAUAAAAACCUAAGUAUUACAUUAUAAGUUUUUGAACAUUGAACUGUAAAAUAACUGCUAUACUGAAAAACCUUAAAAACAACAACAAACAACCAAACGAAAAGUUAUUCCUAACAUAUUAUCUUUAGGUACAUAUGAUAAUUAUUAUUAUAUUAAUUAAGUAGGUAACUAUAAAAAUGGUAAUCGGUGGAUUUCGUAAUGAACUUAUGCUUAUACUCAUCCCAGUAAUGAAAAACUAACUGUGAGUCUGGUUUCAUUGACAAUGAAUCAUAUACAUUAAAUAGUGAACGUAUAAACGCAAACACAUAUUGUAUUAAAUUAUAUUGUAAUAAUAUUAUAUAUUUGAAUAAAUAUUGGUUUUUAUAAAGUAUGAACAAUUGUAUUUAUCAUCCAUCACCCAAUACUGUUUGAACGAAUAUGUCACCUUAUUUUAACACAAAUAAUGUCAUCAAUAUGAUAUUUUUGUCACAAUUCGAUUCAGUACUUUGAACAUGCACAAAUGUGCGAUGUCAUAUUUUUUUUCGUGUGCGUCAAACGUGCAUUAAAAUACAACAUUUUCUUUCUACUCGUCAUGUUCACUGCCGUUUAUUGUUCUAUAAUAAAUGUGCCUAGCAUUAAGUGUCCACACGGAAUGCAUCGGGUCGCGUCAUCUUGCGUGUACCGGAGCGCUGCAGUUCACUUGGAUACGUCAGACGAUGGCACUACAAUGCAGCGAGAUCAAAUAGAUCUGAAUAAUUCGUACGAAUAUUAAACACGUUAUCAACAUAACUGCAGCGGAUCCAGCGUUCGAUAAUAUGAAAUAAAUGAAAAGCUUUGUUUUUAUUAUUAUUAUUACUAUUAUUGUUAGAACGUAGCAAUUUCUUUUUCUUUUCGCUCUAUUCUGUUGUUUCUUUUUUUUUUUACCAUAAUAAUAAUAAUAAUAACGUAAAAAGA